UUCGUAGGCGGGCAAUUAAGUCAGAGGUGAAAUCCCACAGCUCAACUGUGGAACUGCCUUUGAUACUGGUUGUCUUGAGUUACAGUGAAGUAGAUAGAAUAUGUAGUGUAGCGGUGAAAUGCAUAGAUAUUACAUAGAAUACCGAUUGCGAAGGCAGUCUACUAACUGUAUACUGACGCUAAUGGACGAAAGCGUGGGGAGCGAACAGGAUUAGAUACCCUGGUAGUCC
rnacentral:rRNA from 1 species